CAGCAGCAGCAGCAGCAA
rnacentral:miRNA from 1 species